rnacentral:rRNA from 1 species
CCUACGGGUGGCAGCAGUGGGGAAUAUUGGACAAUGGGCGAAAGCCUGAUCCAGCCAUGCCGCGUGUGUGAAGAAGGCCUUCGGGUUGUAAAGCACUUUCAGUGGGGAAGAAAGCCUUGGGGCUAAUACCCUCGAGGAAGGACAUCACCCACAGAAGAAGCACCGGCUAACUCCGUCCAGCAGCCGCGGUAAUACGGAGGGUGCGAGCGUUAAUCGGAAUUACUGGGCGUAAAGCGCGCGUAGGCGGUCUGAUAAGCCGGUUGUGAAAGCCCCGGGCUCAACCUGGGAACGGCAUCCGGAACUGUCAGGCUAGAGUGCAGGAGAGGAAGGUAGAAUUCCCGGUGUAGCGGUGAAAUGCGUAGAGAUCGGGAGGAAUACCAGUGGCGAAGGCGGCCUUCUGGACUGACACUGACGCUGAGGUGCGAAAGCGUGGGUAGCAAACAGGAUUAGAUACCCUAGUAGUC